CAACUACCAGUAGUAACGAUGAAUUUUCCAGCGUCUCUUUUGUUAAUAAUGACAAUUGCGUUACGAAUACAGCUCCGAGUUCCCUCCUCUCCGACGUUUUGAGCCCAACUGAAGACUGUCAGGAGCCUCCACCUGGGAGAUUAUUCACAAUAUCAGGUUUAGUGUUUGAAGUUUGAACCCAUUUACCUAUGUCUUUUGUUUUUCCUCUUGAUGUUGUAUAACUCAGUACAUAUGUUUGUAAAUCCAGUUAUAUGUUUGUUUCUGCCUUUACUCUCUUCAAAGAAAUUUUCAGAAAUAGAAGAGGAACGAGGGACACAAUGAACUGAUUGAUGUUUAUUUCCUUCGACUAGUGAUUUGGUACUGUUUUUUCGGGUUGUCAAACUACUAAGUUUUUAUGGUCAUUUUUCUUUUGCAGUUAUCGUAAAUAUAUAAUUAUUUGUUUCUCUGCCACAUUCUCUUUCUUACUUGUGUUCAUGUUUUCUCUUUCAACUUGUUUUUGGGAUGUGUGUGAGGAAGAGGGGAGAGGGAUGGGGAUGGGGUUGUUUGUUUUUCAACAUCAAUAGAGGACAUUAGUGGUGUGGGUCACAUGCACAAUCAAAUGUGUAUAUUGAAAAGAACAAUUUAAAAUCUUCUUUUUUGGUUUUUAAUUUCUUCAAUGAAGAACUUGUUGGAUGUAAUAUCUAAAAUAACUAUAUUUCAGUGUACUCUUAGGAACAAUUGCAGCCAUGAUGGAAGUGAUAACUGAUAAAAAUUGAGGAAAUAAUAAUUGGCUGCACUAGAGAACAAACGUCCAUAAUCAAAACUAUUGGUGGACUUGUUACUUGAUUAUUGAUAGCAGCUUACAAUUUUUUUGCAAUUUUGUUAACUCUAAUUAUGAAGUACGAAUGAUUCUUAUUUAUAUUACAAUCUGUUCUCUUUUCUCGCCUUUGCGAAUCUGGUUUCUGCUGUUUCUUUAGAAAAAUAAAAAUUGUGUUUUGCACCUGCCCACUUGCUAAAUUGUGUUGCUUUGCAGAAGUUUGAUAUAGUAUUACUGGUGUUAUACAUCUCAUCUAAAAGGUUGAUCUAUAAAGAAGAGCCACAUGUUUAUUAUUUAAAUUUUGUCCUCAACAUGUUUCCUCUCAUACUUGUAGGCAAGAUUCAUAUUUUCCUUCAAAGUCUCACACGUUCACAAUUUCAUUGAAUGUAUGGCAGAAAAACUUAAACCUAGAACCAUUGCAUGCUAUGAUACCAUGUUAACAAUGUCAUGUAUAAGCUUAAGCUAUUAGAGAUGGUCACUUGUAUAUCAUUUAAAUCUUGUCUUCAACAACUAGCAAGUGAACUGUGGCUUCUUCUGUACUUUUGUUGUUUGAGAGAAAAAUAGAAAAACAGUUUGCUUCCUCAUUUACGUGAUUGGUUUGUUGGUUAAAUUGAUUCUUGGUUGUACAUUGAAUAUGGAUGCGAUAACAUUUCUAUUGUUAAGAAAUAUUAUAUAUUAAAAGCUGCUGGUAUGCUGUUGCAUCAGCCGAUUUGAUUAUUAGAUCUUUUGACCUGGAUUUGGCCUUUUGUUUUGAAUUAUUUCAUAAAUUUGUAAUCUUUCUUAAAUUUCUUAAUUUGAGCUGGAAGAGAGUCUCAACCUCUUGAUAAACCUGAUGUUCAUCAAGCCUGUGAAUGAAAUGUGAACUUCGCAUGCUACUUGACUGUAUAAUUGGAAGAACUUUUAUUUUUGUUAUAUCAUUAUUUCCACAAUUUAGUAUUGUAAUUCAUUUAAUGCAUUAAAAAUAUAAUUUAUUUAUCAUUCUUAAUAUAUGUCUUGGAUUUUUUCAUCAUGUGAGGGUGAUUCCUGAUAAUUCGUCGAAAAAUGUGAUUGAAAGUUCGUUGCUUUCGCAGUUUGGGACAAAUAUUUCUCGUAAAUUGCUGCAAAU